UUUAGACCAGCAGAAGAACACAGCUUUAUUUUAUUCAGGGAGAACAUUAAGAUAAAUCUUCCAAAUCACCCCCCUCUAAAUAUAAGCUGGGUCUUCUGACAUAAAUCAGCCAAUUUAGCUGCUGCUAAAGGCUUUGUAGUGUAGGCAAGUGCUCCAAGUGGAGCUGGCUGAAGUGCUGGUGGUUUGACUCGGCUGCUGCACAUCAGGUUGAUAAGGUCACUGCUCCCUUCGUGCAGCUUUUCUGCAGGUUCAUGCAGAUCCCCAGGGGAGAGAUGCUCUGCAGUGAACCUUUCUGCAUUUGCUGUUCUCACAUCCUGGGUGUCUUCUGGCAGCACUCAUCAUUUGCAUCAUUGCUCAAUUCAAGGCUCUCGUGUUCUCAAGUCUCUUUACAGGCAGGGUGGGAUGUGGCUGGUGGAGCUUGGGGUUGUCUGGGCUUGAGUGGAGUGAAUCAUCCUCACAGAGUAAUCUCCCUCUGCCACUGAUGCUGAACUGCUGCAAGCUGUUCCUACUCAGCAAAGCAUAUAAGCCAAUUUCUGGCUCCAUUUCCAUUCAGCAGAACAUUUAACUGUGAAUUUAAUACUAAACUCAUGCUCAAAUCCCUUCACUUAUUAAUGGGUUUAGGUGAAUGUCCACUCUGCAUCACUGAAUGAGGCAGGGAUUAAUUGCAAAGAGAGAGGAGCUCUGCAGAGCUGGGUUCAGGCAGAAACUGGUGCACUCCCAUCUAAGGCUUCUCUCCCCACCAGCUGUGCAUCCAACACAGGGUAAAUCCCAGGGUAAAGUGUUGAUCCUUUAAUCUUGCUCAUCAAGGGAUAUUUUUAUGGCGUUGGAUCUGCCUGGUGAAAGAGCCUGUGAGGUGGCUCAGGACCUUGGUGAGCCUCUCAGCUCUGCUGGAGUGGGAAGGGUGAUGGCAGCUGGGUGUGGCACUCAGAGGCCAUCCCUCUGCACACCUGGCUCUUCUCAUCUCCAGCUUCAGACAGCAGAGGUGGAGGAUGCACACACAGCACAGUGGGCUGACAUGACAGCUUUCCCAUAGCAGAUGUCACACAAGCUCAGGAAGGGUUGAAGUUGAAAUAUUCACUUGCUGCAGUGUGUUUGCAGAGGGGAGGAGGUGACAACUCCCUUUACACACUGCACGAGUGCAGACUGGGCAGGGCACAUGCUGCUCUCUGUGAGGGGGAUCUUCAUUUCUGUAAAGGACAUUCCCCUCUCACUGUUUACUCAUUGUAGAAAAUGGUGAAUUGAAGAUGCUUUUAGAAACAUGUUGUCUUCACAAAGUCCUAUAAUUUAGACAUUUCUCUUCCUCUGUUGCAGGAGAUGACAUAACACUUAUGAAAGCCCUGGCACAUGUUGUCCAGAUGUUGUGGAUGCCUCAUCCCUGGAACUGUUCAAGGACAAUUUGACUGGGGCUCUGAGCAACCUGGUCCUGUGGAAGAUGUCCCUGCCCACGGCAGGGGGCCUGCAACUGGAUGAUUUUUAAGGUUCUUUCCAAGCCAAACCAUUCUAUGAUUCUUUAAUUCCAUGGCUGAUGCUGUCAGUCCCUGAGUGCUGACAAAGACCACAGCUCUGUGGGCACAGAUCAAGCUCUCAGUCUUUGUACCCCACUUUUUCCAUCUUUAUAAUGGGAAUAAUAAUAGUUGUUAACCUCACAGCAGUGUGGUAUUGGCUGUGUUUAAACAGAAGGUCUGAGCACUCUUGGUGGAACGCCAUUUAAUUGCUCCUAGAUUUAAAUUUGGGUUUUCCAAUGUUCCCAUUCUAUCCAUUAGCCUGGACACCCUCUGACAUGCAGGGGCAGUAGGGGACUGAUCUGUGACUUUCAGGUAGCAAGGGACAAGGUGAAAGGGGAUGGCCUCAAGUUGCACCAUUGGAUAUGAGGAAAAAAUCCUUUACUGUGGAAGGGUGGCCAGACAUUGGAACAGACUGUGCAGGGAAAUGGUGGAAUCACUAUCCCUGGAAGUGUUAAAACAUGUGGUGCUUAGGGAUUUAGUAGUGGACUUGGCAGCACUGGGUUGAUGGUUGGACUUGAUGAUUUCCAAGGUCUUUUUCAACCUUAAUGAUUCUCUGAUUCCAAGGGUGCAAAUCAGAAGCCUUUCCUUAAACUCAGUGGAGUUGUGCCACUGCCAGGCUGUGGUAAGGAGAGGAUGUUUAUUGCAGACUGUUUUGAUUUGUAGAGUGAAAACACAGAGCUUAGUCAUCAAAAACAGGGGUUAGUCAUCAAAAACAGUUUACCUUCCUCUCAAAAUAUGAAAAGGCUUAAAAGUUUGGUGAGGUUUACAGGGCAUUAAACAAACACUGCUAUUACAAUUGCCGGUGUUAAUUCUCAUCAGGUAGCCUUCCUUCCCCAUUCUAGGGGAGACUCAGAGCUCCUUGUCAGCUGCCAAAUGCUGUGACCCUGGUGCCCAUAAAAGGUUUCUGCUGUAACUGUCUUGUUAUCAGCCCAUCAAUGUCCUGACACUUCCUAGUGAUUAAUCCUGUGUUGAAAUGAAAUUAAGUUUCCAUAUAUUUGGCCAGUGACCCCAGGACUUCCUAUUUGGGGAAUACAAAGAAUAAAGCAUCUGUAGCCUACAGGAAGCCAGAGUCUCCGAUUUCCUGCAGAGGCAGAACAAGAACAAACAGGGAACACAUUUUUCACCGCGGCAGCCGAAAGCGCACGUAAGAGCCCUGCUGGCCCCCAUGAUGAAAACAAUUGGAAGGGGGAACAUCCCUGGUCCCGAAAUUAUUUGUGGGUGUUUUGUUACGUACACAAUAUGCCAUUAUAAAAUAGAUGCAACUCAAGUUAAUGUUUUUUCCAGGUGACUAUUAAGGUUUCCUUUAGCACAGGUCUUUAGGUUUCCAUCAGUGAGAUUGUGUUUGUCAGGCAAGUGAGUUUUACUUUGCCUUUUGCUGCACUAGGCUCUCUAAAUCCAUUUGAGAUUAGGAAAAUGCAGGGAUAUUUUUUUUACGGCUUUGUUUAAAUGAGCCAGGCCAGAUUCAAGCUGAUGUAAAUGCCAGUGAAAGGGGCAGGAGGAGGUGAUAAGGCAGCAAAUCCUCCUUGCAGCCUAACUCUGACUUGUGAUGAAAGGUAUGUGGGGAAAUAGAGGCACCAGCCUGCCUGCUGAGGAUCCCUGAGGGAGAGCCAUUGCUGCCUCUACAAUCCAAUUCAGCUGC
ensembl:lncRNA